rnacentral:misc_RNA from 1 species
CAGAGCAUCAUGCCCUUCGGGGUAGAUCUCCCACCCUAUGUAUUUAUACCUUUUGUUGCUUUGGCAGGCCGCCCUAGGCCACCGGCUCCGGCUGGUGAGCGCCCGCCAGAGGACCCCAAACUCUGAAUAUUAGUGUCGUCUGAGUACUAUAUAAUAGUUA